UACGGAGGGUGCGAGCGUUGUCCGGAAUCACUGGGCGUAAAGGGCGCGUAGGUGGCGCGGGCAGUCAACGGUGAAAGUUCGGGGCUCAACCCUGAAUCGGCCGUCGAUACUCCUGGGCUCGAGCACUGUAGAGGCAGAUGGAAUUCCGGGUGUAGCGGUGGAAUGCGUAGAGAUCCGGAAGAACACCGGUGGCGAAGGCGGUCUGCUGGGCAGUUGCUGACACUGAGGCGCGACAGCGUGGGGAGCAACAGGAGUAAGAUGACCCAUGA
rnacentral:rRNA from 1 species